AUUGAACGCUGGCGGCAGGCCUAACACAUGCAAGUCGAGCGGAUGAAGGAGCUUGCUCCUGAUUCAGCGGCGGACGGGUGAGUAAUGCUUAGGAAUCUGCCUAUUAGUGGGGGAUAACUCGGGGAAACUCGGGCUAAUACCGCAUACGUCCUACGGGAGAAAGUGGGGGAUCUUCGGACCUCAUGCUAAUAGAUGAGCCUAGGUCGGAUUAGCUAGUUGGUGAGGUAACGGCUCACCAAGGCGACGAUCCGUAGCUGGUCUGAGAGGAUGAUCAGCCACACUGGAACUGAGACACGGUCCAGACUCCUACGGGAGGCAGCAGUGGGGAAUAUUGGACAAUGGGCGAAAGCCUGAUCCAGCCAUGCCGCGUGUGUGAAGAAGGUCUUCGGAUUGUAAAGCACUUUAAGUUGGGAGGAAGGUCUGUAAGCUAAUACCUUGCAGUCUUGACGUUACCAACAGAAUAAGCACCGGCUAACUCUGUGCCAGCAGCCGCAGUAA
rnacentral:rRNA from 1 species